AUCUCAGCAAGGCAAUUACCACCUCCACAAUCAAAGUGAGGUGUGUUCGGGCUUUUCAAGGUUUACCUGAAGAUAAGAAUGACAAAAGCUUAGAAUGUGUGUUUCAUGACUCCAAGGUGAAAUUCGCAUUUCUACACAUUUUCAAGCUUCUAAGGUUGUGAUUAAUGCUGAUGUUAAAGAAGUUAAAGAUUUUAGGAUGAGAAUUAAAGAUGACAGCAGUUUUGUUCAGCAAAUUUCUGUCAUUGAAGGAGGACAAAGACUUGGUGGGGAAUUUGAUGAUCUACAAGUGAAGUCCCUUGAGGAUUUGUCUUGCCUAGAGGAAGGUUCAUGUUGGGUAUUCGGUAAAAUCGAGUCAGUUGAGUGUCAUUACGGUGAAUGGUAUUUUUUGGCGUGUAAGACUUGUGUUAAGAAGGUCA